UACGUAGGGCGCAAGCGUUGCUCGGAUUUACUGGGCGUAAAGGGCGUCUAGGCGGCUUUUCAAGUCGCGUGUGAAAUUUCUACGGCUCAACCGAGAAAGUGCACGCGAUACUGUAAAGCUUGAGUGCGGUAGAGGGAAAUGGAAUUCAAGGUGGAACGGUGAUAUGUUUAGAUAUCUUGGAGAACACCGAUGGCGAAGGCAGUUUCCUGGGCCUGCACUGACGCUGAAGCGCGAAAGCUAGGGGAGCAAAGAGG
rnacentral:misc_RNA from 1 species